UUGAUCCUGGCUCAGCGCGAACGCUGGCGGCGUGCCUAACACAUGCAAGUCGUGCGCAGGCUCGCUCCCUUUUGGGAGCGGGUGCUGAGCGGCAAACGGGUGAGUAACACGUGGGUAACCUACCCCCAGGAGGGGGAUAACCCCGGGAAACCGGGGCUAAUACCCCAUAAUGCCACCCGCCACUAAGGCGUGGUGGCCAAAGGGGGCCUCUGGCCUUUGGCCAUGCUCCCGCCUGGGGAUGGGCCCGCGGCCCAUCAGGUAGUUGGUGGGGUAACGGCCCACCAAGCCUAUGACGGGUAGCCGGCCUGAGAGGGUGGCCGGCCACAGCGGGACUGAGACACGGCCCGCACCCCUACGGGGGGCAGCAGUGGGGAAUCGUGGGCAAUGGGCGAAAGCCUGACCCCGCGACGCCGCGUGGGGGAAGAAGCCCUGCGGGGUGUAAACCCCUGUCGGGGGGGACGAAGCGGCUAUGGGUUAAUAGCCCAUAGUCGUGACGGUACCCCCAGAGGAAGGGACGGCUAACUACGUGCCAGCAGCCGCGGUAAUACGUAGGUCCCGAGCGUUGCGCGAAGUCACUGGGCGUAAAGCGUCCGCAGCCGGUCGGGUAAGCGGGAUGUCAAAGCCCACGGCUCAACCGUGGAAUGGCAUCCCGAACUGCCCGACUUGAGGCACGCCCGGGCAGGCGGAAUUCCCGGGGUAGCGGUGAAAUGCGUAGAUCUCGGGAGGAACACCGAAGGGGAAGCCAGCCUGCUGGGGCUGUCCUGACGGUCAGGGACGAAAGCCGGGGGAGCAAACCGGAUUAGAUACCCGGGUAGUCCCGGCCGUAAACCAUGGGCGCUAGGGCUUGUCCCUUUGGGGCAGGCUCGCAGCUAACGCGUUAAGCGCCCCGCCUGGGGAGUACGGGCGCAAGCCUGAAACUCAAAGGAAUUGGCGGGGGCCCGCACAACCGGUGGAGCGUCUGGUUCAAUUCGAUGCUAACCGAAGAACCUUACCCGGGCUUGACAUGCUGGGGAGACUCCGCGAAAGCGGAGUUGUGGAAGUCCCUAGGACUUCCCCCCAGCACAGGUGGUGCAUGGCCGUCGUCAGCUCGUGUCGUGAGA
rnacentral:rRNA from 1 species